rnacentral:lncRNA from 1 species
ACGCACUUUUAACCACUUCUCUCAUCAGCCUUCCAAAUGAUGCUUUUUCAUGGUCUUAUUUUUUUUCUUUCUUUCUUUUUUUUUUUUUUUUGAGGAAAUUGCUCCUAAUUUCUUAGAGCCUAAUAUGGGAGUGGUGAGGAUGGAGGAUCAUGGAAACUUGCCUGUAACAGGGAUUAUUCUUCUAUAAAAACCUCAACCUUGGAAUAGGAUUAUUCUUCUUUUGCUCUUUACCUCAGAGUAGGUUUUCUGUCAGCUUGUGGCACCUUUCCCUACAAUUGAAUAAUCUUUUAGAAUAACACUUUACUCAUUGAUUUAUAUUAAGAGAUUUAUUCUCAGUUUCCAGGAAGUGUAGUAUCCUACACUAUAUCUCCUAAAGGAUCAAAGUAUCUUAACCCAAAGAGGAUUUCUUGGUAACCCAUUUUCAUUCAAUAAAUGUUUAUUUGGUGUAUACUAUGUGCUUGCUAAUGUAGCAGACACUUAGCAUCAGGAAACAAAGCACAUACACUGAAAACUACAAUCUGUGCUUUUAUUCUAGUUCCCUGUGGAAGAUUUCUCCGUAUGAAACAGAAAAAGUUUGCUGAUUCAUGAUGCAAAAUAUGUACCUUGGGCUCAACAAAACAGAUGCUUUGGAUUUCACACUGUGGUAUAUUCCAAAGGCUAAUAGACAACAAAAACAAUGGGGAUUCACUUUCUUUUUGGAUAUCCUCCCUACUUUCUCUGUUAAUCUACAAAUCUUGUAUUUCUGCCUCAGUGAUUUUGUCUCCCAGUUUUACCUUCUGACUCAAAUGUCUUGA